UUUUUUUUUUUUUUUUUUUUUUUUUUUCUCGCA
rnacentral:ribozyme from 1 species